AGCAGCCGCGGUAAUUCCAGCUCCAAUAGCGUAUAUUAAAGUUGUUGCAGUUAAAAAGCUCGUAGUUGAAUUUCGGAAUCAAUAUAUCGGUCGUGCCUUGGUACGUACUGGUAUCAUUGGUUUCUCCUUUCUGACGAACCAUGAUGUCAUUAAUUUGGUGUUAUGGGAAGUUAGGACUGUUACUUUGAAAAAUUAGAGUGUUUAAAGCAGGCUUUAGCUUGAAUACAUUAGCAUGGAAUAAUGAAAUAGGACGUUUGAUCCUAUUUCGUGGUUUCUAGGAUCGACGUAAUGAUUAAUAGGGAUAGUUGGGGGCAUUAGUAUUCAAUUGUCAGAGGUGAAAUUCUUGGAUUUAUUGAAGACUAACUACUGCGAAAGCAUUUGCCAAGGAUGUUUUCAUUAAUACAAGAACGAAAGUUAGGGAUCGAAGACGAUCAGAUACCGUCGUAGUCUUAACC
rnacentral:rRNA from 1 species